AUUGAACGCUGGCGGCAGGCUUAACACAUGCAAGUCGAGCGAGCGGCGGACGGGUGAGUAAUGACUGGGAAACUGCCUGAUGGAGGGGGAUAACUACUGGAAACGGUAUCUACUAACGCAUACCAUCAGAUGUGCCCAGAUGGGAUUAGAGAGUAGGGGGGGGAAUGGAUCACCUAGGCAACGAUCCCUAGCUGGUCUUAGAGGAUGACCAGCCACACAGUAACUGGGACGUGGUCCAGACACCGACGGGAGGCAGCAGUGGGGAAUAUUGCACAAUGGGCGAAAGCCUGAAGCAGCCAUGCCGCGUGGGUGAAGAAGGACGUCGGGUUGUAGAGCACUUUCAGCGAGGAGGCGUUACUCGCAGAAGAAGCACCGGCUGACUCCGUGCCAGCAGCCGCGGUAAUUC
rnacentral:rRNA from 1 species